rnacentral:rRNA from 1 species
UUCCGGUUGAUCCCGCCAGACCUGACUGCUAUCGGAUUGAUACUAAGCCAUGCGAGUCGUUGUAGCAAUACAAGGCAUACGGCUCAGUAACGCGUAGUCAACCUAACCUAUGGACGGGAAUAACCUCGGGAAACUGAGAAUAAUGCCCGAUAGAACAUUAUGCCUGGAAUGGUUUAUGUUCCAAAUGAUUUAUCGCCAUAGGAUGGGACUGCGGCCUAUCAGUUUGUUGGUGAGGUAAUGGCCCACCAAGACUAUUACAGGUACGGGCUCUGAGAGGAGUAGCCCGGAGAUGGGUACUGAGACACGGACCCAGGCCCUAUGGGGCGCAGCAGGCGAGAAAACUUUGCAAUGUGCGAAAGCACGACAAGGUUAAUCCGAGUGAUUUCUGCUAAAGAGAUCUUUUGUUAGUCCUAGAAACACUAACGAAUAAGGGGUGGGCAAGUUCUGGUGUCAGCCGCCGCGGUAAAACCAGCACCUCAAGUGGUCAGGAUGAUUAUUGGGCCUAAAGCAUCCGUAGCCGGCUCUGUAAGUUUUCGGUUAAAUCUGUACGCUCAACGUACAGGCUGCCGGAAAUACUGCAGAACUAGGGAGUGGGAGAGGUAGACGGUACUCGGUAGGAAGUGGUAAAAUGCUUUGAUCUAUCGAUGACCACCUGUGGCGAAGGCGGUCUACCAGAACACGUCCGACGGUGAGGGAUGAAAGCUGGGGGAGCAAACCGGAUUAGAUACCCGGGUAGUCCCAGCUGUAAACUAUGCAAACUCAGUGAUGCAUUGGCUUGUGGCCAAUGCAGUGCUGCAGGGAAGCCGUUAAGUUUGCCGCCUGGGAAGUACGUACGCAAGUAUGAAACUUAAAGGAAUUGGCGGGGGAGCACCACAAGGGGUGAAGCCUGCGGUUCAA